AGAGUUUGAUCCUGGCUCAGGAUGAACGCUAGCUACAGGCUUAACACAUGCAAGUCGAGGGGCAGCAUGGUCUUAGCUUGCUAAGGCCGAUGGCGACCGGCGCACGGGUGAGUAACACGUAUCCAACCUGCCGUCUACUCUUGGACAGCCUUCUGAAAGGAAGAUUAAUACAAGAUGGCAUCAUGAGUCCGCAUGUUCACAUGAUUAAAGGUAUUCCGGUAGACGAUGGGGAUGCGUUCCAUUAGAUAGUAGGCGGGGUAACGGCCCACCUAGUCUUCGAUGGAUAGGGGUUCUGAGAGGAAGGUCCCCCACAUUGGAACUGAGACACGGUCCAAACUCCUACGGGAGGCAGCAGUGAGGAAUAUUGGUCAAUGGGCGAGAGCCUGAACCAGCCAAGUAGCGUGAAGGAUGACUGCCCUAUGGGUUGUAAACUUCUUUUAUAAAGGAAUAAAGUCGGGUAUGGAUACCCGUUUGCAUGUACUUUAUGAAUAAGGAUCGGCUAACUCCGUGCCAGCAGCCGCGGUAAUACGGAGGAUCCGAGCGUUAUCCGGAUUUAUUGGGUUUAAAGGGAGCGUAGAUGGAUGUUUAAGUCAGUUGUGAAAGUUUGCGGCUCAACCGUAAAAUUGCAGUUGAUACUGGAUAUCUUGAGUGCAGUUGAGGCAGGCGGAAUUCGUGGUGUAGCGGUGAAAUGCUUAGAUAUCACGAAGAACUCCGAUUGCGAAGGCAGCCUGCUAAGCUGCAACUGACAUUGAGGCUCGAAAGUGUGGGUAUCAAACAGGAUUAGAUACCCUGGUAGUCCACACGGUAAACGAUGAAUACUCGCUGUUUGCGAUAUACAGCAAGCGGCCAAGCGAAAGCGUUAAGUAUUCCACCUGGGGAGUACGCCGGCAACGGUGAAACUCAAAGGAAUUGACGGGGGCCCGCACAAGCGGAGGAACAUGUGGUUUAAUUCGAUGAUACGCGAGGAACCUUACCCGGGCUUAAAUUGCAGAUGAAUUACGGUGAAAGCCGUAAGCCGCAAGGCAUCUGUGAAGGUGCUGCAUGGUUGUCGUCAGCUCGUGCCGUGAGGUGUCGGCUUAAGUGCCAUAACGAGCGCAACCCUUGUUGUCAGUUACUAACAGGUUCCGCUGAGGACUCUGACAAGACUGCCAUCGUAAGAUGUGAGGAAGGUGGGGAUGACGUCAAAUCAGCACGGCCCUUACGUCCGGGGCUACACACGUGUUACAAUGGGGGGUACAGAGGGCCGCUACCACGCGAGUGGAUGCCAAUCCCCAAAACCUCUCUCAGUUCGGACUGGAGUCUGCAACCCGACUCCACGAAGCUGGAUUCGCUAGUAAUCGCGCAUCAGCCACGGCGCGGUGAAUACGUUCCCGGGCCUUGUACACACCGCCCGUCAAGCCAUGGGAGCCGGGGGUACCUGAAGUGCGUAACCGCGAGGAGCGCCCUAGGGUAAAACUGGUGACUGGGGCUAAGUCGUAACAAGUUAGCCGUACCGGAAGGUGCGGCUG
rnacentral:rRNA from 1 species